AUUAGGCUGACGAGUCCCAAAGAGGAUGAAAUGAGCAUCCUGAAU
rnacentral:hammerhead_ribozyme from 1 species